UUGAUCUUAUUUAUGAUAUGUUU
rnacentral:snRNA from 1 species